GUGAAUCAUCGAAUCUUUGAACGCAAAUUGCACUCUCUGGUAUUCCGGAGAGUAUGCCUGUUUGAGGGUCAGUUUAAAUAAAAAUCGGUGUGGUUGCUGCCUUUCGUGGUGACGCACCGGAUUUGGGUCGUCUUGCCUUCGGUUAAGUGACCUAAAAUUUUGCAUGAUUUUUUUGAAACGAUUUAAAUUGAUUUAAGUAACUUUUCGGUAAUGGAU
rnacentral:misc_RNA from 1 species